UAAUAGAAUUAGUUACUAUAUAUACCGUACUGUAUUAUAUAUUGUCACAGUUUAAUUUGGAUCUCAAUUUGAAACAUGAAACUCUUCAUCAUCCUUUCCGCCCUUGUGGUGAUGACCAUAGCAGAGGAUAUCGUAUACUUCACCUCGGACGAUGAUUAUUUGGAUAUCGACUCAUUGAUGAACGAACCACUUAUAGCCAAAGAAAUUAUUGAUUGCUUAGUUGAUCGUGCUCCGUGCUACUAUCGGAUUCAAUCAUACAAAAAUAAGUUGGCUGAAGUAAUCUUCACAGCCUGCCACAGAUGCAAUGACCCUCAGAAGAAAUUGGCGAACCGUUUCCUGAUGGCUCUGAAGGUGAAGUAUCCUGAGUACUACCGGGACUUCGACAAGAAAUACGAUCCUGACAACAUUUACCUGCCAAUUUUGGAAAAUGCUGUGUCUGGAUACUAAUUUUUUUAUCAAUAAAAAAAUCAGCAUUUAA